AUGGUCUUCGGCCUGGGCCUGCGUGUCAAGCCGGGCCGGAGGGAGGUUGCAGACGGCGACGAGGUACACGGGCGAGCACCGGCGGGGCGAGGUAGUCGCGGCCAGCUUGCUGGAGCAGCGAGCGGCCACGAGAGAAGAGGCAGGGGUGCUGCUGGCGGCGAGGUCGAGCAGAGGGUGGCGAGGCGAAGACAGCAGCAGCACAUGGGCGAGGACGUGGAUGCGGGGCUCGUGCAGGCGGCCGGAGAAGAGGUCGUCGGCACGGAGGUAUGCAAGGGCUCCGGCGAGGAGGCUGAUGGCGAGCUGCAGAAAAUUUUCUUGGAUACAACUAGACUGCUUGCAGAAAAAACAAAUAAUCUACUUCCAGAACUCUGGAAGUACAUUGAGGAUGGAAAACUUGUCGAGUCUACAGUUCUACUGCUGGCUGCUCAAGAGCAGAUACGUCGGGGCAGUUCUUCCAAGAUAAAUGGUAGUAGUAAGAAAAAUGGGUUUGACAUUAUCAAUAAAUGUAUAGUCAGGCUUUCAUUUGCCUUGAAAUUGGAGAAAGGUUCACAUGGAAUGGCUCAGGAGCUUCUGGAGGAAAGGAAGGCACUUAUUGAUAGUGCAUGGCUUCUUGUUGAUGUAAUUUCCCAUGCCGGUGAAGAUCUUUCUGCAUACAUUCAAGCACAUUCUGAGGUGCCCCAUGUGGAGGUCUUUCAACAUGUUUCAUCUAUUCUCAAGGAGUAUGGAUUUUGCCCUACUGGACAUUCCAUGGACACUUUUAAAUUGCGGCCUUAUGACUGCAGAAAUUCGGACGGAGCGUCAUGCAAAGGGCUUGUAGAUGCAAACAUGGCAGAUAUGAGAACGGCCAAUCUGGAUGCUGCAGAGAAAAAGGCUGUGAGGAAGAUAAUUGGCGGAGGAUGGGAUCCCACAUAUGCAAGGAGAGAUUUUUUCCCAUAUUGGAGAUCAGUGUUGCAAGCCCGGUUUCCUGUGAAGAUCUAUCCAGCCUAUGCAAACGAAGAUCCUAAGGUUGGGCUUAAGCCUGGACAACUGUGUUUCUCAGCGUAAGCCAAUUAGCAAUGGAUCUACUCCAAUUCCAAAUCAUACGCGUGGUUCUGUGCAAGGAAUCGUGCCACCUAGAAGCAAUAAUCAACCCAGAAGGUGCUUUAUCACUGCUGCUACUGGUGCAUUAAGGCUAUUGAAGGUGCUAAAGUAG